UACGGAGGGGGCUAGCGUUGUUCGGAAUUCUGGGCGUAAAGCGCACGUAGGCGGCUUUGUAAGUUAGAGGUGAAAGCCCAGGGCUUAACCCUGGAAUUGCCUUUAAGACUGCAUCGCUAGAAUCGUGGAGAGGUAAGUGGAAUUCCGAGUGUAGAGGUGAAAUUCGUAGAUAUUCGGAAGAACACCAGUGGCGAAGGCGACUUACUGGACACGUAUUGACGCUGAGGUGCGAAAGCGUGGGGAGCAAACAGG
rnacentral:rRNA from 1 species